rnacentral:lncRNA from 1 species
GUGACACCAAAGUGACCCCAACGUGACACCAAAGUGACCCGAAUGUGACACCAAAGUGACCCCAACAUGACACCAACGUGACCCAAAAGUGACACCAAAGUGACCCCAACGUGACCCCAAAGUGACCCCAACGUGACCCCAAAGUGACCCCAAAGUGACCCCAAAGCGACCCCAGAGCGACACCGUCGUGACCCCAAUGUGAUCCCGCAUUGCCCACCAGCGCCCCCUGGCGGCCGCACCUGAGUAUGGCAGCCCACAGCUCCAUGGCGUCAUCGCGGUAGUGAUACCCGGGGACGUCGGUGACGCCGCGCGCGAUGACGUCAUCGGGCACGCAGAGCUCGGCGUACGUCAGCGCCGCCGUCGCCCGCGCCACCAGCUCCAGGGUCCCCGCCCGCCCGAUGGACGUGGCCUGCAGCGUGCCACCACGUGUCCCCGUGUCCCCGUGUCCCCACGUCCACGUGUCCCCAUGUCCCCGUGUCCCCGUGUCCCCAUGUCCCCGUGUCCCCAUGUCCCCGUGUCCCCGUGUCCCCACGUCCCCGUGUCCCCACGUCCCCGUGUCCCCGUGUCCCCAUGUCCCCAUGUCUCUGUGUCCCCGUGUCCCCACGUCCCCGUGUCCCCCUGUCCCCGUGUCCCCAUGUCCCCAUGUCCCCGUGUCCCCGUGUCCCCAGGUCCCCGUGUCCCCGUGUCCCCGUGUCCCCACGUCCCCGUGUCCCCACGUCCCUGUGUCCCCGUGUCCCCGUGUCCCCGUGUCCCCAUGUCCCCAUGUCCCCGUGUCCCCGUGUCCCCAUGUCCCCACGUCCCUGUGUCCCCGUGUCCCCACGUCCCUGUGUCCCCGUGUCCCCAUGUCCCCGUGUCCCCAUGUCCCCAUCCCAAUGAUGUCCCUGUGUCCCCAUAUCCCCGUGUCCCCGUGUCCCCACGUCCAUGUGUCCUCAUGUCCCCGUGUCCCUGUGUCCCCAUGUCCCCGUGUCCCCGUGUCCCCGUGUCCCCACGUCCAUGUGUCCUCGUGUCCCCGUGUCCCCAUGACCCCACGUCCCCGUGUCCCCCUGUCCCCAUGUCCCCAUGUCCCCAUGUCUCUGUGUCCCCGUGUCCCCGUGUCCCCAGGUCCCCGUGUCCCCAUGUCCCCGUGUCCCCAUGUCCCCAUGUCC